GUGAAGAAGGGUUUCGGCUCGUAAAACUCUGUUGUUAAAGAAGAACAUAUCUGAGAGUAACUGUUCAGGUAUUGACGGUAUUUAACCAGAAAGCCACGGCUAACUACGUGCCAGCAGCCGCGGUAAUACGUAGGUGGCAAGCGUUGUCCGGAUUUAUUGGGCGUAAAGCGAGCGCAGGCGGUUUUUUAAGUCUGAUGUGAAAGCCUUCGGCUCAACCGAAGAAGUGCAUCGGAAACUGGGAAACUUGAGUGCAGAAGAGGACAGUGGAACUCCAUGUGUAGCGGUGAAAUGCGUAGAUAUAUGGAAGAACACCAGUGGCGAAGGCGGCUGUCUGGUCUGUAACUGACGCUGAGGCUCGAAAGUAUGGGUAGCAAACAGGAUUAGAUACCCUGGUAGUCCAUACCGUAAACGAUGAAUGCUAAGUGUUGGAG
rnacentral:rRNA from 2 species